rnacentral:rRNA from 1 species
UACGGAGGGGGCUAGCGUUGUUCGGAAUUACUGGGCGUAAAGCGUGCGCAGGCGGUUCGUUGUGUCGGUGGUGAAAGCCCCGGGCUUAACCUGGGAAUGGCCAUGGAAACUGGCGAACUGGAGUGUGGCAGAGGGGGGUGGAAUUCCGCGUGUAGCAGUGAAAUGCGUAGAGAUGCGGAGGAACACCGGUGGCGAAGGCAGCCCCCUGGGCUAGCACUGACGCUCAGGCACGAAAGCGUGGGGAGCAAACAGG